rnacentral:rRNA from 1 species
CUCGUAGGCGGCCAACUAAGUCGGACGUGAAAUCCCCAGGCUCAACCUGGGAACUGCGUCCGAUACUGGAUGGCUUGAAUUCGGGAGAGGGAUGCAGAAUUCCAGGUGUAGCGGUGAAAUGCGUAGAUAUCUGGAGGAACACCGGUGGCGAAGGCGGCAUUCUGGACCGAUAUUGACGCUGAGGAGCGAAAGCCAGGGGAGCAAACG